GCGGCGGGCGGCAGGGAACGGCGACAUGUGUAGGCGGUUGGGCGCCAGAUGUGCAGCCCAUAGGUGUGGCGCCGGCCGGAGUUGAUGGUGGCGGACGCGUUCUAGCAGCUUUAGAUCCGUCCUCGACUCAAUCAUGCUGUUCUUUCGUGCUUGAACAUAUACAGCCUUCUUCUCAUGAUCACAAGGGCACCGCUGCACCGGUGGACAAGAAGACAGCCUAUAUAUCAUGCUCAUCUUGCCUCUGAUUUGCUACUAUCAUACCACAUCGCCGUCUUGAAUAUGAGUUCCUGGUGAUCAUAUGAACAAUGGAAAGGAGAGGCAUGACCAACAACAUCAUAAAUUGCAGUAUUGGGCCACAUGCAUGGUGGCCUGGAUGUACUACAAAAAAGAAAUAUCAAGCCCAUAUACCCUGCUCCAUCGGGGCUGUAUGAACUAUGGCGUCAACAGAAUGGCGGUGGUUGUUACUGAAACCCUCAACAUGCAGCAUCUACUAUUUCUUGACUUCAAUUUGGCUCGGGAAGAAUCAGGCGGUUGCAAAUAGAAAAUUGCUUUAGGCUUGGAUGUACUGCAAAAAGAAAUAUCAAUCUCAUAUACCUUGUUCCAUCGCGGCUAUCUCAAGUAUGGUGUCAACGGAAUGGCGGUGGCCGUUACUGAAACCCUCGACAUGCAGCAUCGACUAUUCCACGACUUCGGUUUGCUAUCUCAAUUACGGUGUCAACAGUUUGGUGGUGGCUGGUACUGAAAUCCUCGACAUGUAGCAUCGACUAUUCCUCCACUUCGAUUUGACUAUAGAGUGAAAGCUACACGCAAUUGCAAUAGACGGGCAGACAAUCAUGAUCCAAUUGGUAUUAUUAUCUGAUGAUGUGGACGGGCUACAUGUUAAGAUAAAUAUCAUUAAGAAAUCAUAGUGAGGUUUUUCUUGAUGAUGUGGAUGGGCUAUGUGUUAAGAUAAAUAUCAUUAAGAACUCAUAGUUAGGUUUUUCUUUAGGGGGCACCAGCUUUCAUCUUGGGCGUUGAGUCAGCCAGCCAGAAAGCGCUCUAUUUUUUCUUCAUGCAGCAUAUGGCAAUUUAUUUCGUAAUAACUACUCCCUUGAUUCACGCCCAUGCAAUUUGCUUCCAUGUGAAGAAUUUUAGUUUCCAAUUGAAGAUCACUUUAUUUUCGUUGCAACUUAAUUUUGCUUCAUAUUUUAGAGUAGUUAAUUUGCUUCUAAUCCAUUCGAAAUUAUUCUCAUCCAAAAAUAAAACUCGGUGUCCAGAUCCCAACACAUAGAGAAACAGUUUCCUCAAUCGGAAAAUUGCUUAGCAGUGAAACUAUUCUUGCAUUGAACAAAGAUAUGGUGUUCACAAUUUUUUAUUUCCAUGGAAGAAAAAUUGUGCUUCGAUCCAGAAGAGAAUUUACUUCCAAUGCUGCUAAGCAACUAAAUUUCUUUUCAAUCAAAUAAAGGAAGUUUUGCAUCGUAAAUGGUUUCCAAUGAUACCCUACUUUGCUUCUAUUGGUUCUCAAAUUAGCUUUGAUAUACUAUGGAAGCACUAAUCAUGCUUAAGUUGUAUUUC